UGAUAUAUAAUUAUUUCUUGUACACUCAAUGUCAAAGAAAGAUUGCCAAAUAUGCAGGCAAUACUUUUGAUGAUUUUAUUAGCUUAGCUGUAUACCAACUUCCUAGCCCCUGAGACUUCACUAUUUUCUCUGGACAGUUCAAAGGAAAAGCUUCUUCUAGCUUCAUCUUUAAGAUGAAUCUUUUGCUAGAAAAGCAUUUUGCAGGGGAGAAAUAUCUGCUCCUGAAAAAUUCCCUUUGCCUGAAUUUAGCAACAUGAAGCUUUUAUAACAGUAGAUGCAGUCCAAACUCCCCUUAAGCUCUCACUUCACUCCAACAAGAUCUGUUUUAUAACUAGGCCAUACCACUUUCUUAGUUCUUUAUCUCUUGAGUAGCUGCUCUUUAGUUCCAGCUAGAGACUAUUACUGAUUCCUGAAGCAGUGUCUACUGAUCAAAUAGCAAAUUAGUAUUUAUUUUGGAAAUUAGAACAGGGAGUGUGAUUUUAUUAGAUUUUAAAGCUGGAUUUUUUUUAUUUUGUGCUCAGUUUAAGCAAUUAAAAUAAUUGCUCUAAUUCAAUUAUAUAUCUAGAUAAACAAAUACCAGCUUUUCAUUUUUUUGUUCUCCUCCUUGUUCUCUUUUAGGACAGAAGCCUAAUGGAGAAGUCUUGCCUAGUACGAAAAGGAACAUAAAUUGUCUGCAUCAAGUGGUAAUAAGGAAAUAUUGUUUAUUCUUUUCAGAGAUUGGAAAAUCUUUUCCAGGUGUAAUUUAUGACCUGCACCUGUGUACAGCAUAAAUGACUCAGGUGAGAUGUGAAGACUGCCUCUUUUGAGGCUAGAAAGUCUCCACAUUUCUAAUGAAGCACUGGAGAGAUCUGUGCUCAAGCACUUAUCUCUUGAUGGAGAAAUCUUGUUACCUAGUGACGUGUAUUAAAUAAUCUGUUUGGAGGAGGUCACAACAUUGAAAAGAUUCAACUGAAGAAUGUUUUGGUCUUCCUGUCCUGCAGCCAGGAAGAUGACUAAGAAGGACCUAUUCCAAUCAAAGUUACAGUAGUAAAUCCUCUCUUAGCUAACUUCUCUGUUAGUGUGUGAAAUACACUGUUGUGACUUCUCUGUAUUGC
rnacentral:lncRNA from 1 species